GACGUACCACCCGAACGUUAUUCGGAUUCACUGGGCUUACAGAGUCCGUAGGCGGUCAAGAAAGUUAGGCGUGAAAAUCCCUCAGCUCAACUGAGGAAUAGCGCUUAAAACUACUUGGCUAGAGAGAGUCAGAGGUGAGCGGAACUGAUGGUGGAGCGGUGAAAUGACGUUGAUAUCAUCAGGAACACCGGUGGCGAAAGCGGCUCACUGGGGCUUUUCUGACGCUGAGGGACGGAAAGCUAGGGGAGCGGAACGGG
rnacentral:rRNA from 1 species